ensembl:snoRNA
AUCCUUUUGCAGUUCAUAAGCAUGAUGUUUGGGUUUUCAAAUGCUUUGAAAACUUUGCUUUGGGUUUUCAGAUGCUUCUGUGAGAAGUACCUUCCUCAAACCCUGUUACAAUGGUGGCUCACAUCUGUAA